CCAGUACAGGAUGGACCCGCGUCUGAUUAGCUAGUUGGUAAGGUAACGGCUUACCAAGGCGACGAUCAGUAGCCGACCUGAGAGGGUGAUCGGCCACAUUGGAACUGAGACACGGUCCAAACUCCUACGGGAGGCAGCAGUGGGGAAUAUUGCACAAUGGGCGAAAGCCUGAUGCAGCAACGCCGCGUGAGUGAUGAAGGCCUUCGGGUCGUAAAACUCUGUCCUCAAGGAAGAUAAUGACGGUACUUGAGGAGGAAGCCCCGGCUAACUACGUGCCAGCAGCCGCGGUAAUACGUAGGGGGCUAGCGUUAUCCGGAUUUACUGGGCGUAAAGGGUGCGUAGGCGGUCUUUCAAGUCAGGAGUGAAAGGCUACGGCUCAACCGUAGUAAGCUCUUGAAACUGGGAGACUUGAGUGCAGGAGAGGAGAGUGGAAUUCCUAGUGUAGCGGUGAAAUGCGUAGAUAUUAGGAGGAACACCAGUUGCGAAGGCGGCUCUCUGGACUGUAACUGACGCUGAGGCACGAAAGCGUGGGGAGCAAACAGGAUUAGAUACCCUGGUAGUCCACGCUGUAAACGAUGAGUACUAGGUGUCGGGGGUUACCCCCUUCG
rnacentral:rRNA from 1 species